AAUAAAAUGGCUGAUGAUAGGCGAUAAAUUGUAAAUUUAUUUAUAAGAAAAUUCUUUUUUAUUA
rnacentral:tRNA from 1 species